rnacentral:rRNA from 1 species
UGGGGAAUAUUGCGCAAUGGGCGAAAGCCUGACGCAGCGACGCCGCGUGAGGGAUGAAGGCCUUCGGGUUGUAAACCUCUUUCAGCAGGGAAGAAGCGCAAGUGACGGUACCUGCAGAAGAAGCACCGGCUAACUACGUGCCAGCAGCCGCGGUAAUACGUAGGGUGCAAGCGUUGUCCGGAAUUAUUGGGCGUAAAGAGCUCGUAGGCGGUUUGUCGCGUCUGCUGUGAAAACCCAGGGCUUAACCCUGGGCCUGCAGUGGGUACGGGCAGACUAGAGUGCGGUAGGGGAGAUCGGAAUUCCUGGUGUAGCGGUGAAAUGCGCAGAUAUCAGGAGGAACACCGGUGGCGAAGGCGGAUCUCUGGGCCGUAACUGACGCUGAGGAGCGAAAGCAUGGGGAGCGAACA